CAGUGAGGAAUAAUGGAAAAGGAAUAAAAAAAUGUGUAAGCAUGAGAGCAAACUUCCUCCAAUAAUUUUUGUGCCAGUCACAUAGCAGGUGCAUUCCUGUUCUGAUUAAAUCAGAUAAUCAAUGAUGGAAUAAUCCCAUUAAAGGGUAUAUUUGCAUUAUUUUUCAUGUUUUUCUUCACCGCAAAGAUCAUAUAUCUGAGUGUAGCCUUUGCAGCUAACUUUCAUCAGCUCCCAGACCGUCGUGGUAGGUUGUUGAUGAAAAUAACAGUAACACAAUCGCCGGAAGAAAAAUGUGUGAUGUAGUACAAUGGUGACACCAACGCCUCCUGGCUGUGCCCAGCUGCGGCAACUGCCACCGGACGGCGCCCCCAUCCAGGAGUACACAAGUUGCCCCACGCCAACCGAGAUCUUUCAAAUCUUCUCUAUCAUUGUCAUCGCAAAAGGACUUUCAUCAGUGGCUCGCUGACAAUCUCCCCCAAACCCUACAAGAGAUUCAAGUAAGUUUAAACUUCCAUUUUGCACAUGUGCAAUUGAGUCACUCACCUUGCUAGAUUAGGUCAGAUCUAUUACUCCUACCUAAGCGCUCCGAAUUAUUGUAUUUUCCUGUCCAGAUAAUGGAUCAACAAGCUUGUCCCUUCAUAUUGUCAAACACGGGAUGACUGGACCAUCUACUUUGGUCAUUCAAAUUAUAAAACACAAUCAUGAUGUUGAAAUCUCAUAUCAUUCCAUCACGUGAGCUUUUC
rnacentral:lncRNA from 1 species